GAUGAACGCUGGCGGCGUGCCUAAUACAUGCAAGUCGAGCGAACGGACGAGAAGCUUGCUUUUCUGAUGUUAGCGGCGGACGGGUGAGUAACACGUGGAUAACCUACCUAUAAGACUGGGAUAACUUCGGGAAACCGGAGCUAAUACCGGAUAAUAUUUUGAACCGCAUGGUUCAAAAGUGAAAGACGGUCUUGCUGUCACUUAUAGAUGGAUCCGCGCUGCAUUGGCUAGUUGGUAAGGUAACGGCUUACCAAGGCAACGAUGCAUAGCCGACCUGAGAGGGUGAUCGGCCACACUGGAACUGAGACACGGUCCAGACUCCUACGGGAGGCAGCAGUAGGGAAUCUUCCGCAAUGGGCGAAAGCCUGACGGAGCAACGCCGCGUGAGUGAUGAAGGUCUUCGGAUCGUAAAACUCUGUUAUUAGGGAAGAACAUAUGUGUAAGUAACUGUGCACAUCUUGACGGUACCUAAUCAGAAAGCCACGACUAACUACGUG
rnacentral:rRNA from 1 species